rnacentral:rRNA from 1 species
AUGUCCGUGGCCGUGGCGGCUCUCGCGCCCGAGCUCGCCUACGUCUGGGGCGUCGCGCCGGGAGCGCCGCUCACCAGGGCAUACCCCGAUGGCAACUUCGCGGGCGGCAGCAUUGGGCUGCCGCUCGACGGUCCGCCGUGGGACGCGGUCUGCGUGCCCGCCGGCCUCUUCGGCCGGACCGUGCCCGACGUGGUCGUCCCGCUUGUUUUCGCCGUCGUGGUUGUCGCCGGCGCCACCGCCUUCACCGCCGCCGUCGGCGUGUGGGAGGACGAUGAGGACGACUUCGAGAUCACCGAGGUAGGACAGGUGUAG